CUGCCUUUUGCAGAUUGUUGACUUUAACUCGAACGCGCUUCGAGAGUCCACGCUUUGCGUUACGCAGAGUGAGAGAGCGAGCGAGAGUGGGAAGGAGAGCGAACCCUACCCUUUCGUGCCUAUAUACUCUACGCCUCAUCGUCCUAUCCUCUACCCUCUUGUGGGUUAACUCCCCUCUCGAUUAUAAGGGUCAACGUUUGGUACCGGACAUUGUUGACGUUCGGCGUUGCGUAUAACCACUGGCGUUGCAUAAUAAAGUAGAAAAACGUGAAGUUGAAUGAAAGUGGAAAGAAAAAAAAUAUAUGGGUGAGAUAAAAGGUUACCUUUUUUUUUAACAAGAAUAAACUUGGACGGAAUCGGUCUCAAAAGUGUAAAUUUUUUAAAUACCGCCGAACAACGUACUCCAGGUGCAACGAGUGGCGAAUCGAGGGUCGAUCAAAAAUCUAGGUACGUACUGGUGAGAUCAGAAGACCACUUGUAUAAAAAGAUGUAAAACGUAAUAAAAAGAAAGACGACACGAUUCAGAAGGGAAUUAUGCAGAUUGCAGGCUUGGGUCUGAUGGGGCCUGAUGGGACUGGGGGACUACGUGAUGGAGCCACGACGUGCCGGGCAUAUAUCGGUACUACAGGGAAUACCGUACGCUAUACGGAGACUAGAGAGAUCGUCGUAUAGAGGAUAUUUAAUAAAGUGUCACGUAAACAAUUGUAAAUAGGUUCGGUACUAAUUUCUUGGUGCAUUCCUGUUCAGGGUCCCGGAAAGAUGGAUAUACCAGUGUUCGAUAGAAGAAAAAAGGAAGAUAUCUUUCCAGAGGACAGUUAAUAAAGAUAAAGAUAAAUAAUACACGUAAUGAACGAUAAGGCCCGUUCGAUUGUCGGUGAAAUGACGCUGUGAAAAAUGAAAUAAGAGGAAAGGAGAGGGUAGAGGAAAAAAGGAUUAUAUCGGUAUGUAUGUCCUGGUCGUCGGUACUUUUCUAGUACCCCCGACCGAUUCCUGAGGCCCCCGGGGCACCGAAGGCCCCAAAGGCCUCUCCUCCCAUUUACUCCCAUAGCAAACGGACAGCCUACAUACUUCUGUCCGGCGUGCAAGUCAUUCCGUGUGAGGCCCCGCAGGAAACAUAGAGGGUUAUCUGGUUACUUGGAUAUAUCAGGCUUAAGCGUUCAUUACGUACGUGCCCGGCGGUCCUCAGUGCGGAGCGCAAAACCCAGGUGCCUCCGAGCAAUGAAUACUGACAGUGCUAUCGUUUCUUGUGGGUCCUGACAGCAGCGUUAUACCAAGACGGGCCCUAUAUCGACGUGACGCCAUUACUACGGAUUCCCAGUGACUAUUUUCAUUCGAGGAAGAUGCCUUCACACUGAUUUGCACGCACAUUCACGAUCCGGUUUACCUAUCUUGUCCAAUAAACAUCACUCGCCCAUUACCCAGUCGCCAUUUCUGAACGCAAGGAAUGCCGGGAGUAACAAAUCCACGCUGAGCAUUGUGGGAGUUUACGGAACCAGUGUUAGAAUACCUCUGGGCCUUGUUCGAAUUCUCGUAAU